rnacentral:tRNA from 1 species
GCGUUGGUGGUUUAUAGGUUAGCAUGGUUGCCUUCCAAGCAGUCGAUCCGGGUUCGAUUCCCGGCUAACGCA